GUGUAUCGCAAAGAAUUUUCGAGUUCUUUGAAGACGUUGUGUUACGAAAGUCACCCUAUGUAUAGACGGAAAUUCAUUUCGACGUUAAAUUAUUCUACAAAAACAUUAUGUCAAGUAUACAUUUUGCAUACUGCAUAUCUUGUGGAUGUUAGGCAUAAGAAAAUAUGUAACUGCACUGUAUCAACUGAAGGAAUGCCACUGCGAAUAUCUAUAGUAAAACGAAGUACCUGUUCGAAUAGGAUAACGUCCUGUGAGGAAAGCUGUCCUUGAUGGCGUGCAUAUCGGCAAGACAUAAUGGCGUUGCAAUAUGAUACCAUUGUAGGCGAGAGCGUCUAUAUUCGGCUUACGUACAAAAGAAAAACAGAGAGACGAAUUGGAACCAAGAAAUGAAUGCAGAAAACUGUUCAAGCAACUAUAUAGAAGAAAAUGAGAUAUCGUGAGGGGAUUGCAGAUUUCACUAUGGUUAAAUUUAUAUUGGAGUGGAAAAUAUCUCUUUGCCAACAAAUACUCAAGAGUAUGUAGUUUGAGACUCAGCACAACUGUGUUUUCAGUAGGUACUAUCAUAGUACAACUUGGUAACAUUGACAACAUCCUCUAUAUACGUGACGCAAAUAGAUGCGUCCCAUUCAUACAUAAAACAAGACAUGAUUUUGUUACUAUUUUCAAAAUUAUCUUUUCUGUUUUUAACGUUUUAUAAACCUAUCGGAUAGAUAGGGAGCUGGUGGCCUUUUCCUCUUUCAAUGUUUCGGUGAGCGGCCCCUUUCAUACCUAGGUAAGUAUCUAAGUACCUGCCAGGCUCGUACUGUAGUUGCAAUAGUGUCAGCUGAUACAAAUGUGUGUGAAUGUAUACAGUAGUAAUUGCAAAAGGAGGAAUUCGACUGCAAUCGUCAGAGCCUAGUGGGUAUGGAGGGGAUUACUCAACAAAGAAGCAAAAGAGUGAAGUGGCCCGCGGGCUAUUGGUUCCUCAUUAUUUACUAGGUAGCAUGCGCCUCUCACGUCCUAAAUUAAUCCUAAACGCUAAAAGUGCACAGGGGCAAGGGGAAUCAGCAACAUGCUCCACCUCGGUGCUUCCAGGAAACAUAGUAGUCGAUAAACAUAAAUCAUCGGGAUCCGGUAAACAUAGAAAAUGGCUGCCGCGUAGAAACAAAGUUCAAUGUCAACGUUCGUGACACCUCACUCCUCACUCGCAUUCUGUUUUGUCUUGCUUGCUUUGUCAUUGCUAACAUCUUGAAUGGAAGAGUUCCCUUGCUUCUGUCACUUUUUAGCUUUUUAGCUUUUUAGCUAUAUUCUACAAAAACAUUUUUCCGAAAUGGUUCGAAGAAUUUUUAUUUUUGGUACAAAUUUAAUCAGAUUAAUCAAUACUUUUCCUACAUGUAAGGUAUUUAUUUAAAUAAUCUUGGAACAUAUAUUUUAUUUUUGAAAUAUGUUAUAUAGAAGCUGGCAAUUUAGUUUCUAUUAUAUAAAAAACUAACACUAUUAAAAACUAGAUUAUUUUGUUAAAAAGAUAAAAGAUCAACUCAUGUCGAGUUACUUUUCAAAAUAAUUUUCAAACAAGAACAAAAAUUCAUUUAAUCCCUUUCGAUUACAAUCCUAAAUAUUACGCGACAAAUGAUUUCUGACGUGAAAAUUUAUUUGUACAUUCCAUUAUUGUAAAAAUUAAUGACAACUUUUUCCAAUAUCAUCAUCACCAAAAAUUCGAAAUCAGCGAAAGGAUGCCUCGUAUCCGUCAACUCUCGCAACUUUGUAUGAACUAAUACAUAUGUAUCAUAUUUGAAUUUAAUCAGUCACUGAUAUGUCCAAAAUAAUCAGUAUAACAUCGAGUGAUGUUAUUGUUAAAAAUUAUUAAUUAACCUUGAAAAUAUUAAUAUUUUCAAAUUGUUAAUAUUCUCAUGAUUAGUUUUACACGAAAGAACUCAUGAAGUUCUCUUGGUGCUUAUGAAACAUCUAUUUUAUCUCAGAAAUAGUGAUGACAAUAAUAAACUUACCAAGUCAUCUGCGACAAUAACAAUUAUAUUCGGCCGUUGCGCUUUCGAUUGUUUUGCACGACGGUGUUCUUGUGAUACCGCAAGAUAUAUGCAUCCUGAUAAGACAACAAUGGAUACUAUAAAAAGUGCAAUACGUGUUUUUGCCUGCAACAACAUUUUUAAUGUCUCACUUGAAAUAAGUUCAAUGAAAUUCAAAUGCAAAACAAACAACACCGAUAUUUUUCACGAAGUUUUCCAGAAAUGUUUAGUGACUAAAAAGAAAUGUUUGUUCUAUAAAUGCACUGCACUAAAUAACUUAAAACAGUACCAUGAAUACAAUACGUAAUGAUAGCUCCUGCACCUUCUUCUGCGGAUAGGUAACGUUCACUCGAUAACAACAGACUUGCGUCAAGAGCACAACUGUAACGAGUAACCAUGGUUUGCGGGCUUUAUACCAUCAAUAGAGAAAGUAUUGGGACAGCGCAAAUAUCCUGAUAUCAAUUUUAUAACAUUAACAAGAGACUUUGUGAAAAAUAAAAAUAUUAUAUUUACUUAAUAAUGAUAUUUAAGCAUACCAAUAACGUAUUUGAUUAAUAUUUAUUUGACAAUAAUGUAUUUACUUAAUAAUUAUUAUUCCUGAUAAAUUAUUUAUUUAUUAUAAUAAUUCAUAUCAUUUUUCGUUCAAAAUUGUAUCGUUUCACUGUUCUUAGGUUGCAAAGUCAAAGGUUUUUAAGUAGUUUUAAUCUAUUCGUCACAAAUUAUUGCACUAUCUUUAGAAGUAUGAGCAUGAUAGUCUGUAAAAUGCUAUUUGGAAUAUAUGUCAGAAAGGAAUGAAGUAUUUAUUGGAGUGUUUACAUUUCUUUAUAUAUGAACAAUUAACAAUGCAAUGAUUUCUGAUUCCAUAAUAUUUUUGAUUUACCGAAUAUACUGAGUUGAUGCAAUUUUAUGCUAAAUUCUAGUAAUACUUAUGUCUGAUUUUAUUUAUCUCUUCAGAUAUAAUACCGCAUAUUUUAUAUAAAGUACUCUGUUUGAAGGGAGACAUUAUUCGGUGCAAAUAGACUUUCGUACAUAAAAAUAUAGAAAUUAUUUUGAAAUUAAUUUAUACAUUUACAUACAUAAAAUAUUAAUUUAUGAUUUUCUGAGAUACAUUGUUUAAUUCGAUUUAAUAAACACGACCAUAUUAUAAAUAAAGACAUGUAGGAUGCCACUAAAAACAAGUUAAAUUGAUUUUGUAUCUUUUCCACAAUUGCAUGUACAAAAAGAAUUAUUUACAUUAUCAAUGUUAUCAAACAUUGCAUCAAAUAAAAAUAUUUACGAAAAUCAUUUUUUCAAUUAAAUUAAUAAAAUGAAUAU